UUUAAUUGAAGAGUUUGAUCAUGGCUCAGAUUGAACGCUGGCGGCAGGCCUAACACAUGCAAGUCGAACGGUAA
rnacentral:rRNA from 1 species